rnacentral:lncRNA from 1 species
CAAACCUACUUCAAUCAACACAUGGCAGCAAUUCACCACUUAUCUGCUUCUUCUGGCUUUUAUUCUUAUCCUCUUCCCCGGCACCCUCUUCCUCUCCCCUCAACCAGUGCAGCCGCCACCCCCAACCCUGAAAUGCAUUCUCCCAGGUUCUACAGCACAUAGAAGAGUACGGUAAAGUGGAAAGGAAAGAUCCUGGCUUAGAGAAAUUUGGGUCCAAGUUCUGAUUCUGCCACGUACGAGCUGUGGGCUCUGAGACAGACAACCUCCACGGGUCUGGGUUUUCUCAUCUGUUAAGAGGCAUAAUCAUAUACUGGCCUCAGGUCAGGGUGAUGCUGCGAUCUGAUGAGACAAGGCACACACACGGCCCCGCCCAGCGCCUGUUGCAUAGCGAUGCUCACUGACUCUUACGUGGAAUGAAAUGGUGGCAUCAGUGCUCUCAUUCUGCCCCUUCUUUCAACACCACCAGGGGCUCGUGGCUGGGCAGCAAGAAGGGCCUUGCGGCAGCUGGGUACCUCUGGACCACUCAGCUUCAACCUUCCUGAGCCUCAUUUCCUCAUCCACAAAGUGGAAUCAGUUCCUGCCUGGCAGAGUUGCUGUGAGACUAGACAAACUCGAGGCUUGUCAGCUUGAGGACCGCGGGGGAGUUGAAGUUUCCACACCCCACCGUGGGGUUAACGGCUGCGGCCCGCCCCUUGUGCUGCCUCUGGCUCAACUCUCCUCGGGCUUUGUGGGCCAAGGACUGGACAUCUUAGGGUGGAGCGGUCCAGAGCUGUGAGGUCCUGGGGUCCCCCCUCGGCGCAGUAAUGGCCCCCGUGGUGCCUGCUCCUGGAGACCAGCGCAGUAGGCUCGCUGGCUCCGCCUGGCCAUCGCUCCUGUUAUUCAGUCGAUGGCUGCCCUUUGGAAGAGGAAGCUGAAUAAAUGAAUGGCUGCUGGAAUUGCUCCUGGAAAAGAAGUGACUCUUAUUGCAUGCCUUCUACAGAGAGCUGUGUGCUGGAACAGGCACAAUCUCACUGAUGCUCUCAUUUCAUCUCCACAACCCCAACAAGAGGGUGGAUGUGACAGACAGCCAUAGAAGAGUGUGUCAGUGUCAUUGGUGAAACUGAGAAUGAUAUUCACUAAGCCGCACAACUUUCCUUAUCUCAAGAUUCGCAUGCUUGUUCCUCCUACAGCCGAAUGCCAGGAGAGAACGUGUGUCUCCAGACCAGCGUGCGUGCUGUCUUGGGGCAGCUCCACAUCCCCGUGGAUGUCAGGAAUUUGGAAAUGAAAUGAACUAUGAUGUUCACUGGCAUGAGCCCAGGCUCUGGGUAAAAUGAGCCUUCCCCUUUUCCUGUUGGUUGCUUUCUUGUUAAAAACAAGAGGUUCCUUAACAUUGUUUUUUUCAAAUUGUUUUAUAGGUUAAUUCUGAUUUUGAAAUAAGUGCAUCUUGAUUGUAAACAAAAAACUCAACAUUUGAUGUACCUCCUUGUAGACUUUUAUAUGUAGAUUUGGGUAUGUAUAGCGUGUAUGGAAACAAAAGUUUAGGAAAGUGAGAAUCAUGACAUACUCUUUUGAAACCCACCUUUUUUUUCUCUUAGCCUACCAUAGAUAUUUUAAUAUGUUAAUAAUAACAACAGUAACAAUAGCUUCAUUCAUUCAACAAAAUAUUUGUGAUAUCCAUAAAUAUUUUCUAGGCACUUUCUCUUGGCACUGAGACUAUAGAAAUGGACAAAAUAGACAAGGUCUCCCCCUCACUAGAGCUAUCAGGCCAUAAACUACUAAAUAUAAAAUAAAUUAAAAUGUUCAUUUCAAAUAGUGCUGUGAAAAAACCAAUGCAACAUGUUGGGGACAACAUUUGGAAGGGUAGUCAUAAAAGCCUUCUUUGAGGGGGUGACAAUUUGAGCUGAGGCCUGAGUGAUGAGAAUGAACCAGGCUUGGACUAGAUCUAGGCAGAGGAAACAGCACAUGCAAAGGUCCUGAGGUGAGAAUAGAGUUUGAUCUGUUUCAGGAACAGCAAGAAGGCUAGCAGGCUGGAGCUGAGUGAGAGAUCAAGGUGCAACUGGAGAGACAGGCGGGAGCCACAUCUUACCAAUCAUGGGGAGACAUUUGGAUUUUGUUGCAAGUGUCAUGAUCUGAUUUAAGCAUUUGAAAAGCAAGAUCACUGUGGCUGCUUGAUGGGG